CGGUCGGAGCCUUCGGGUGACGGCGUGCCUUUUGCAUAAUGAGCCUACGAGUUACGGUUACUGGCAAGGUUAAUGUUUGAAGAACAGGAGCCGAAGCGAAAGCGAGUCUGAAUAGGGCGAUUAGUCAGUGGCCGUAGACGCGAAACUUUGUGAUCUACCCUUGGUCAGGUUGAAGCGCUGGUAACACAUCGUGGAGGACCGAACCGGUAAACGUUGAAAAGUUUUCGGAUGAACUGAGGGUAGGGGUGAAAGGCCAAUCAAACUGAGAAAUAGCUCGUACUCCCCGAAAUGUUUUUAGGAACAGCGUUGUGGGGCGUUUAUGUCAGGUAGAGCUACUGAUAGGAUGCGGGGGAGUCAAAUCCUACCAAAUUCUGACAAACUCCGAAUGGGCAUAAACAGACACAGCAGUGAGGGCCGGGGUGCU
rnacentral:ncRNA from 1 species